AUGUAUAUGUUUGUACAUACUUCCUUUUCGUUUCCAACUGAUGGGUGUUGGGAAUUUUUAAUUUAAUAAAUAAAGCUAAAAUAACUGAUGGGUUUAUACAUACUUCCUUUUCGUUUCCUUUUUAUGGGUGAUGGCUUCUAUGGGUGUAUUUGGUUAUUGUUUGGCUGAACCUAUUUGGCUUCAAUCUUCCUUUCCUUUCCAUGUAUCUUAAACCUUAGCUUUCUACUCUAAUGGGUUUCUUCCUAUUGUCUUUGAUUAUUCGUUUUCGAUUGCAACGACUAAGCUCCGAGGGUGAUGACGGUUAGUUUUCACAAGUUUGGAGACAAGUUUUUUCCUGGAACCAGUGAUGUCAAGGCUUUGCUCAUAUUAUGUCUGGAUACGAAAGACAUAUUGCUUCAUAAUUUCCCUUUCCAUUGUUAUUGAAAUAUCUAAAGCUCUUCAAAAUAACAAUGAGUUACAGACUAUUCAUCUUCCAAUAAUUUACAUGGUGUGGAAUGCUAGCACUAUUUGGUUGUCUAA